rnacentral:rRNA from 1 species
UGGGGAAUAUUGCACAAUGGGCGCAAGCCUGAUGCAGCCAUGCCGCGUGUAUGAAGAAGGCCUUCGGGUUGUAAAGUACUUUCAGCGAGGAGGAAGGCGUUGUGGUUAAUAACCGCAACGAUUGACGUUACUCGCAGAAGAAGCACCGGCUAACUCCGUGCCAGCAGCCGCGGUAAUACGGAGGGUGCAAGCGUUAAUCGGAAUUACUGGGCGUAAAGCGCACGCAGGCGGUCUGUCAAGUCGGAUGUGAAAUCCCCGGGCUCAACCUGGGAACUGCAUCCGAAACUGGCAGGCUAGAGUCUUGUAGAGGGGGGUAGAAUUCCAGGUGUAGCGGUGAAAUGC